rnacentral:rRNA from 1 species
AACGAACGCUGGCGGCAGGCUUAACACAUGCAAGUCAAGGGGCUCUUCGGAGCGCCGGCGCACGGGUGCGUAACGCGUGGGAAUAUACCCCUAGGUAAGGAAUAACGUAGAGAAAUUUGCGCUAAUACCUUAUAAUAACUUCGGUUCAAAGAUUUAUCGCCAAGGGAUUAGCCCGCGUUAGAUUAGAUAGUUGGUGAGGUAACGGCUCACCAAGUCGACGAUCUAUAGGGGGUCUGAGAGGAUGAUCCCCCACACUGGUACUGAGACACGGACCAG